AAAAGGUAUAAACAACAAAACUAUGUGCAGGACAAAUUAUGGCCGGACUCAAUAACAACAUUGUUUCUUCUUCUUUCUUUCCUCUUCUCCUUUCUUUCUUCUUCUCUCGCAUUUCUUCUUUGUAUUUCUCCUCU
rnacentral:ribozyme from 1 species